UCCCCGUUAUCCGAGGCGGUUUCGCUAGAGUGCCCAACUUAAUGAUGGCAACUAGAGAUAAGGGUUGCGCUCGUUGCGGGACUUAACCCAACAUCUCACGACACGAGCUGACGACAGCCAUGCAGCACCUAUAUAGCAGUCUAUUGCUAGAAAACGAUGUUUCCACCGCGGUCCACUACAUUUCGAGCCCAGGUAAGGUUCUUCGCGUUGCGUCGAAUUAAACCACAUGCUCCACCGCUUGUGCGGGCCCCCGUCAAUUCCUUUGAGUUUCAGUCUUGCGACCGUACUCCCCAGGCGGAUCGCUUAACGCGUUAGCUUCGGCACGACGGGAUUGGGUACCCGACACACCAAGCGAUCAUCGUUUAGGGCUAGGACUAC
rnacentral:misc_RNA from 1 species